GACGAACGCUGGCGGCGUGCUUAACACAUGCAAGUCGAACGGAAAGGCCCUGCUUUUGUGGGGUGCUCGAGUGGCGAACGGGUGAGUAACACGUGAGUAACCUGCCCUUGACUUUGGGAUAACUUCAGGAAACUGGGGCUAAUACCGGAUAGGAGCUCCUGCUGCACGGUGGGGGUUGGAAAGUGUCGGCGGUUGGGGCUGGACUCGCGGCUUAUCAGCUUGUUUGGCGGGUAGUGGCUUACCAAGGCUUUGACGGGUAGGCGGCAUGGGAGGGUGGACGGCCACAUUGGGACUGCGAUACGGCCCAGACUCCUACGGGCGGCAGCAGUGGAGAAUAUUGCACAAUGGGCGGACGCCUGAUGCAGCAACGCCGCGUGCGGGAUGACGGCCUUCGGGUUGUAAACCGCUUUCGCCUGUGACGAAGCGUGAGUGACGGUAAUGGGUAAAGAAGCACCGGCUAACUACGUG
rnacentral:rRNA from 1 species